CCAUUUCAUUGGCAACUGAAAUAGAUCUAAACGGAUUGCGCGGUACCCCGGACCGAAGAAAUUGAAAAAUGAAUUGAAAAGAAUAUCAAUAUAAGGCCCAGAUGUAACCUGUGCGGAGCAAGCCUACACUGGCCUGCAACUGCUUUCUCAUUGGCUCCAUUAGGGUUCGUAGUCUCAUCCUGAAAAGGUUUUUUUCUUUCUCCGGAUAUACUCUCAACUUUCCCUGCUAUCCUAUCAACAGGUCAGUCAAUAUCAGUAGUGGAGGAAGAAGAGUAGUACCCUUUUUUCAGCUAGUCUUAAUAGUUUAAUAAUUCAACUAGUGGUCUUCUUGCCUAAAAAAAGGAGUCAGCCCAACAUGGGCAAUGAUAGACAGACCAAAGAUUUACGCAGUCGUUGUGUGCUUGCUUUGUGCACCGGCACAGCAGAAUUCGAAGCUGCUCGGCGUACUAGCCCUAUAACGGAGUCAGACCCAACCACACUCUCUUAGUAUAAAGCGGAGCAGGACCGUUGGCCUGA
rnacentral:lncRNA from 1 species